GUAGAAGAUGUCUACCAUCUGGAUUAGUCCAUCACCGACCAGUCGAGGUAACUUGACAAAUAAAAGGAAAUUACAAAGAAAGAGGACACUUCUUUGUGGACAAACUCGACCUACAGGUAAUGAUAAUUCAGCUUGAGAAAUCCCUCUUAAAUGUGUGAUUCUCAUGGAAAAUCUGCCUCAUGUUUUCAGGUCUUUACGAAAGUCCUUUUGGGAGCAGGAAUGACUCCAAGUCGCCCUCUGGUGGACGAAAGUGGAUUCACAUCCUGUGAAGGCAAGUAAACAUAUUACACAAGUUUGCGUAAGUUUUAGUUUAACAUUAUGUGAACAUGGACAAAAGGUCCUUAUUUGGGAGAAGAUCUGAGUGUUCUGGUUCCUGUCUAACAAUAGGAAACCAGGCUGAGCUGCUGCUGGCUGCCCUCCACAGGAUGUGGCCUGGCUGGGCAGAAGCCAAACCUGCUCUCCAGCUUCAGAGCCACACAGCUAAUGUUAUGAAAGCCACAGCCACACAAACACAGCUUUGUUCCCCACCAAAAUCCUAGAAGUAGCUUUGUUACCAUGAGUUAUGACCCUGUAGCUAUUAAGCACGCUUUGAUUUGCUAUUGUUGUCGUCUAAUUCAAGGUCACUCUCGAGCAAAAGAAGUAGGUAAUUUGGUGUAGAGUAGAGGGGGAUGAAAACAGUUGGAGUUAGCCGUCAUUCUUCCAUUAAAAAUAGAUGUGGGUUGCCUCUACAGUGAUGUUUUAAUGGACAGAACCCUAAUAAACCUUUAACACCCAUUCACAAAGUCAAUGAACCACCUUGAAAAGCAACAUUGUUUGACUUGAAAGUUAUGUAACCUCGGUGAAGAUUACAGCUCCGAAGGGGAAAAACAUUUUUCUCUCCCUAAAGACACUGAAAGC
rnacentral:lncRNA from 1 species